GCUGCUGCUGCGGCAUACGUAAGUUCCCAGGUUCAGAGAUUGAAUCCCAGCUGCCGCUAUAGUAACAUUUUGGAGAGUAAACCUCUAGAUUUAAUUUAAUCCAAAAAAUGUAAAUUUCAACUAUGUAGUCAAUGCCCUUAAGUAGUAGAUUGGUUAUCACCAAACUAGGUCUACUCAAGUUGGCUAAUAAGGGGUUAUGCAAAUAGAAAAUAAACAAUUCAAUAUUUGCUUCUUUAACAACUUGAUGUAUUAAUCUCAAAAAUUACUUUCCAUUUUUAAUUUGCAUGGAACUUUAUAAUCUAAAUCUUGCAUUAAAAUGAUAUUAUAUUAUUCCAACAAGAGUAUUACUAUCAGUAUGCAUGAAAAUUUGCAUUAAUGUUUUUUAAAAAUAUAUAUAUUAAAGAGGAUAUAGCUUAACAAAGCUGAUGACAUUCUAUGCAUAUAAUUCUUAGAUGAGUUCAUAUUUCAAUAUAAUAUUAACAGCCUAUAAUUUUUUCUCUGAAUAUAGAUAACAUUUAAUGGAAGUUGCAAGAAUUAUACAGUUAAAAAUUACAUUGUAUUAAUGAUAGGCAUCCUUCAGAAAAAAAAAAUCUGUAAAACUUAAUGAAGAUAAAUCUACACUGUGAUUUAUCUUUAGUAAUACUAUCAAAGCCCAAAUCUCACAGUAUUUCUUAGCCUUUGGAAUUAUUUUCUUCUAGGGAAAAUAUUAAUAAAAGAAUAUUAUAACCUGAGAUGGUUACUUUCUCAUAUGACUGUUAACAUUUAGAUCUAAAUUGCAAUUAUUUUAGCAACUUUUGACAUUCUUAACAUGCUCAGGAUCAGCAUCAGGUUUUAGUACACAUGGAAUUCUUCACAACCUCAUUUUAAUUUAAUCAAUCUUAAGCAAAUCAAUCUUUAUUUCUCAACUUGAUUGUAAUAAAAACGGUCUAUAGUUUCCAUCUUCUUAUGGACAGAAGAUUCAAAAGCAAGACAUUAGACAUUAGAGAGGAGAGAAGCAUGAGAUUAAGGAAUCUACCUUGACACAAAUGAGAAGAUGAAUUUUCUUUUUCACUGUUCCAAAACUCCCACUAGUCCUCAGUCCCCUGUUUCACAGUUAACAAAGAUGAAGGUGAGAAAGAGCUUUAUUACUCUAUAAACAACCAAAAAAUCCUCUUGAGUAAAAGUUUUGGAAUAUCAUUUCUGUGCUAAGAUAGAAAUUCUAGUAUUUUCACUCAUCUGCUUUCUAUCUUGACUUUUAAUAGGAAUACAGAUCACAAUCAUUAUUCUCUCAAAGAUAAAGCCUGAAAACUCAGGCUCAACUUUUCACUUUCUCUUUUCUUGACAUUCUUUUUGUUCCUCAGUUAAUCUACUUAGCCCAUUCAUGACCAUGACCUAUAGAUUUCAGAAUAUUCCAUCUCAGCCAAGGAUUUUAUACACAGAUAAACACAUUCAAGAUAAGUAUAGCAAUUGGUUUAACUUAAGUUUCUCUACUUUUCUUUAUUGGACAUUCCUCACCAAGCUGUAAUGUGAAUCUUUACUUUCCAUAUAAGUUUCUUCUAAAUGUCUGGAUUCACCUUGGGGCAAACACUGAUUUGCAGGUACCGUGUUUAGCAACUCUCCUUAGUGCUUUCCCUGGCAGUGAUGUUCAGAAGUGCAGUAAACAAAAGGGUCAGUAAGAAAUCAGUUAACUCUAAAGAAGUGUGAUGUGAGAUGCCAGUCUCUGUCCUGUUUCCCAAAGUUGGCAGCUUUCCUAUCCUGAGAGUGGCAUCAUCUAACACCCAUAAACUCAGCUUUAGUCUAGGUCUAGGAAUACUCCAGACCUUGGUUCUCACAGAUUUCUUGAGUUCUAGCUCACUAGUGCCCAACUUGGAAUCAAUAAAGUUACCUGGAAGCAUUAAUGAACUAUUUUCAAAAUUUCAAAAUACCUAAUUAAAAUGUUCAUUUAUCUACAAAGCAUCAUUCACUUAUAAGCAAAAUAGUGUCCAAUGUCUUCUAAUUGGAAUUAUAUCAAUUGUGUGUACUUCCACAUUAUCUCAAGAUUUCACUCUAGAGUAAUACUUAUUUUGCUCUUGAAUGUUUACCUGAUUAGUGUGUCUCUCUCGAGAUCAUAGAGUUACGGCUGGUUCACUCAUUUGACAGACAGGUGAUAAACAGUAUAUUUCAGAUAUUGUCCUGGCACUAAGGAUAAAGGAAUGAAAGACGGCACGUUGCUUUCAGUCUGCUCCCAGUGUGAUUGGAGAAGGAAGUAGGCCAAUAAUAUGAUAUAAAAUGAUAACUAUAUCGACAUUGCUUUAUUAGAACACAGCGAACAAAUGCCUAACUCAGAAUGAGCAGAGAGACUGGAAUUAGCAUGGGGCGAUAGUCUCUUUGCUUCCACUGUCUUUGUCAGAAAAAGUUUUGUAGUUAUUUCUAUUCAAAACUUGAUCUUUAACCUCUUGUCCCAAUGCCUUGCCCACUCCUUCUGCUAGUUUCUUUUGCUAUGCAUUUCCUCAGUCCAGAAGAGCUGACCGAGAGAGGAGUUUCUCUUCUCCUUACAUGACUUUGUUUUUGCACCUGUUGAAGUGAGUCCUGUUGAUGUGAUCUCAGCUGUUUUCUUUGUCUAAGAAGUCUUUCAGAGAUGAUUCCCAGAUCCAUAUUUAGUCCUUGAACUUUCACACUGCUGUGUGGCUUAGAAAUUAAUAGUUCAGGUAGUUUUUCAGAGUUUGGUCUUCCUAAAAGAGGAAACAAUCUUAUGCUACUCCUAAUAUUUCCAUCAAAGAAAGAUGCUGUCUUUAUAAGUUUGACGAUUGUUGCCCUAGAAUUAUCAUUCAUUUAUGGCUAGUAUUGAGGUAAGAAAAAUAAAAUGAAGAAUAGCCAUUUCAUUUGCAUAUCCACUAAGUCAUUCUUUUCUAGUAAGUGUAGUCUUUCCUCUAAUGAGAUAGUUUCACCAAACUACCUAUGAUGUAAUUCUACAAACAUUCUAAUUUACUCUAUCCAAAGGUAGAGGCUAUUAUAUUAAAUUUCAUAUAAGGAGUUCCUGUUGCGGCUCAGCAGUAAUGAACCUGACUAGUGUCCAUGAGGACGCAGGUUCGAUCCCUGGUCCCACUCAUUUAGUUAAGGAUCUGGCAUUGCCAUGAGCUGUGGUAUGUGUCGCAGAUGCGGCUCAGAUCCCAUGUUGCUGUGGCCAUUACUAUGGCCAGCAGCUGUAGUUCUGAUUUGACCCCUAGCCU
rnacentral:lncRNA from 1 species